rnacentral:rRNA from 1 species
UACGGGGGGGGCAAGCGUUGUUCGGAAUUACUGGGCGUAAAGGGCUCGUAGGUGGCCAACUAAGUCGGACGUGAAAUCCCUCAGCUUAACUGGGGAACUGCGUCCGAUACUGGAUGGCUUGAGUUUGGGAGAGGGAUGCGGAAUUCCAGGUGUAGCGGUGAAAUGCGUAGAUAUCUGGAGGAACACCGGUGGCGAAGGCGGCAUCCUGGACCGACACUGACGCUGAGGAGCGAAAGCCAGGGGAGCAAACGGG